ensembl:miRNA
GCUAAGUCUAUGUUGUGGGUACUCGUGAGCACAAAGUAAGUACCUCUGACAUGACUGAUGCA